rnacentral:rRNA from 1 species
UAAUACGUAGGGUGCAAGCGUUAAUCGGAAUUACUGGGCGUAAAGCGUGCGCAGGCGGUUCGCUAAGACAGAUGUGAAAUCCCCGGGCUUAACCUGGGAACUGCAUUUGUGACUGGCGGGCUAGAGUAUGGCAGAGGGGGGUAGAAUUCCACGUGUAGCAGUGAAAUGCGUAGAGAUGUGGAGGAAUACCGAUGGCG